GGAAGGCUCGGGGCUGACUCCACGGGGACUAAACGAGCCUGCGUGGGCUGGAGGCAGCCCGAAAGCCACGAAACAGAAGUGUCUGGUUUUCCCGCAGGGGUCCGAUUUGCAACCGAAUAUUCCAAAAAUGAGCAUCUGUGUUUGGAGCGAAUUCCAGCGGGGCCGAGCUUGUCUUCUCCGGCAUGAUGGCACCGCCAGGGCUCUGGGAGGAUCUCCGGGCCAGGCGCCGGCCUAGUGACUGGGGCUGGGAGGAGCUGGGGAGGCAUGGCCAUUGGCGUUUCUGCGUAGAACCGCAGCCCAGGGAUCCCGCAUCCGGCCCCGCAGCAGUCUCGGGUUCUCUGGCGCGCCCGCUCGCCUCUCGAGAACCUAGUCCCCGCGCAGGCCUCCCCACAUCGGAGCCGGGAACACCCUCCAGCACCGUCGCAGGACCCCGAGGGUCCUACCCAGUCAUUAGCAAGAGUCGAGGCUGGAUUUUCAGCGGCCGCCUGCGUUCAGUAUAAAUGGAACGUGCUAGGAAACUCCGAUAUGCAGCGAUUUUCUAAACAUCCCGUUAUCCCUGAAACCCGUGUGGCCACCGCCAUGAGUCAUGCAAGGACUGGGCGACAGAAGCUCUGAGCUUCUAUUUGUAAAACACAGAAUAAAUCGGGAGAGCUGAAUGAAGACAAAGCCAUUUUUAAACGUUCGAUCGGUGAGAUCUCCCCCACUUAGCAAACGCUUUCAUUUUCAGAGCUGCCUGUGGCCUUACGCAGGUUCAGAAAAUCGAUUGUAUUCCUGGGUGAAUUCCACCCAGGGAACCGAGUCCUGGGAAUGCGCGCCCAUGUACACAGAAAGCCCACAUUUUAGAAGGAAUGUAUGAGUGAAAAAGAAGCAAGUAUUCCGGACGCAAAUGAGUUUGUAAAUUUACUCUCUUGCCUUCGUGGGGAUCUUCAAAUUGUUUACCCUGCUUUUAUUCCCUCUGUGGUGCUGCCACGGGUGCGCGGGCUGAGCAGGCCGCCCUUCUCCCCACUUGGAGAACUCUGAAACCUGAGGGCCUCUGCCGGAAGCUGCUGUUCGGCCCAUCCGGGUUCCCAGAGGAGCCACUUUUCCUCCUACUAGCCCGGGGAUUGCAAAGUAUCUGGAUCCUUAAAUUCUCUAUCCCAUAUGCCCAAGACUUAAGAGCCAGACCCAGAUGUGGGGCCCAACUGGGGGAAAGUAGGGGAACCCAGGGUACAGCUGGGGCCCACCCGACCAAUGCUGGCAGGCACCACAGACACCUCGGUCCACCUUUCCAAUAUUUUGCUCAAUGUUUGGGGUACCCAA
rnacentral:lncRNA from 1 species